rnacentral:rRNA from 1 species
CUACGGAGGAUCCGAGCGUUAUCCGGAUUUAUUGGGUUUAAAGGGUGCGCAGGCGGCCAUUUAAGUCAGCGGUUAAAUCGUGGGGCUCAACCCCAUUCUGCCGUUGAUACUGGGUGGCUUGAUUGCGGUCGAGGUUGGCGGAAUUCGUUGUGUAGCGGUGAAAUGCAUAGAUAUGACGAAGAACACCGAUUGCGUAGGCAGCUGACCAGAUCGCAAAUGACGCUCAUGCACGAAAGUGCGGGGAUCGAACAGGAUUAGAUACCCUGGUAGUCCGCACAGUAAACGAUGAAUACUUGUUUUCGGCGAUAUAAUGUCGGAGGCAAAGCGAAAGCGAUAAGUAUUCCACCUGGGGAGUACGCCGGCAACGGUGAAACUCAAAUGAAUUGACGGGG